UUUGAGAGAAGGGAUGACACAGUAGGAUAAGCUAAGCACACUGUUGGUUAUGUGUGCCCAAGCAUUGAGGCAGUCAAAGUAGGCAAAUCCGCUUUGAUAAUGCUGGGAUGUGAUGGGGAGCGAAAUUUAGUAGCGAAGUAGCUGAUUUCACACUGUCAAGAAAAGUCUCUAUCGAGGUUAAAGGUACCCGUACCGCAAACCGACACAGGUGGGUGAGGAGAGUAUCCUAAGGCCAGCGAGAGAACUGUUGUUAAGGAACUCGGCAAAAUGACCCCGUAACUUAGGGAUAAGGGGUGCCACCAUCAGGUGGCCGCAGAGAAUAGGCCCAAGCGACUGUUUACCAAAAACAUAGGUUUCUGCUAAGUCGCAAGACGAUGUAUAGGAGCUGACGCCUGCCCGGUGCUGGAAGGUUAAGGGGAUCUGUUAGAGCAAUCGAAGCAGUGAACUUAAGCCCCAGUAAACGGCGGCCGUAACUAUAACGGUCCUAAGGUAGCGAAAUUCCUUGUCGGGUAAGUUCCGACCCGCACGAAAGGCGUAACGAUUUGGGCACUGUCUCAACAACAGACUCGGUGAAAUUGUAAUUCCGGUGAAGAUGCCGGAUACCUGCGACAGGACGGAAAGACCCCAUGGAGCUUUACUGUAGCUUGACAUUGGGUCUUGGUACUACAUGUACAGGAUAGGUGGGAGGCUUUGAAACCAGGACGCCAGUUUUGGCGGAGCCAUCCUUGGGAUACCACCCUUGUAGUACUGGGACUCUAACCAUAGGCCAUGAAUCUGGUCUUGGGACACUGUCAGGUGGGCAGUUUGACUGGGGCGGUCGCCUCCCAAAAGGUAACGGAGGCGCUCAAAGGUUCUCUCAGUACGGUCGGAAAUCGUACGUAGAGUGUAAAGGCAAAAGAGAGCUUGAUUGCAAGACAUACAGGUCGAGCAAGGAUGAAAAUCGGACUUAGUGAUCCGGUGGUUCUGCGUGGAAGGGCCAUCGCUCAACGGAUAAAAGCUACCCUGGGGAUAACAGGCUUAUCUCCCCCAAGAGUCCACAUCGACGGGGAGGUUUGGCACCUCGAUGUCGGCUCAUCACAUCCUGGGGCUGUAGUAGGUCCCAAGGGUUGGGCUGUUCGCCCAUUAAAGUGGUACGCGAGCUGGGUUCAGAACGUCGUGAGACAGUUCGGUCCCUAUCCGUCGCAGGCGUAGGAAAUUUGAGAAGACCUGUCCUUAGUACGAGAGGACCGGGAUGGACGUACCUCUGGUGUACCAGUUGU
rnacentral:rRNA from 1 species